GACGAACGCUGGCAGCGUGCUUAACACAUGCAAGUCGAACGGAAAGGCCCUGCUUUUGUGGGGUGCUCGAGUGGCGAACGGGUGAGUAACACGGGAGUAACCUGCCCUUGACUUUGGGAUAACUUCAGGAAACUGGGGCUAAUACCGGAUAGGAGCUCCUGCUGCAUGGUGGGGGUUGGAAAGUUUCGGCGGUUGGGGAUGGACUCGGGGCUUAUCAGCUUGUUGGUGGGGUAGUGGCUUACCAAGUCUUUGGCGGGUAGCCGGCCUGGGAGGGUGGCCGGCGACAAUGGGCCUACGAUACGGCGCAGAGUCCUACGGGAGGCAGCAGUGGGGAGUAUGACACAGUGGGCGGAAGCCUGAUGCGGCGGCGCCGGGUGCGGGAUGACGGCCUUCGGGUUGUAAACCGCUUUCGCCUGUGACGAAGCGUGAGUGACGGUAAUGGGUAAAGAAGCACCGGCUAACUACGUG
rnacentral:rRNA from 1 species